rnacentral:miRNA from 10 species
UUGUAUUAGGUUGGUGCAAAAGUAAUUGUGGUUCCUGUCAUUGAAAAGUAAUGGCAGAAACCUCAAUUUCUUUUGCACCAACCUCAUA